CUGGGUGGAUGUCUGACCAACAUGAUGCACAAGAUUACAACAUAUUUUCAUUGGCAGAUAAGCUUUCUGGCAUUUUUCUGUCUCACUGCAAUUUUUGUAAUCUGCUUCUGUUGUUUUAUUAAUGCUUGUAGCUACUAGAAUGUUGAUGUUGACAAUCUUCUUUGAUUUUUACCUCACUUUUAAUUGUUUUUCUAAAAAGUACUGCUGGAAUGAUUAAGAAUGACGUUUACAGUUUUUUUCAUAUCUCAUCUUAUUCUCAAGUUAUCGCACUUUCUAUAUUUUGUGUUGUGACGUCGCAACUUUAACUGAUAAUGGCAAUAAAAAGGAAGUCUGAUAUCUUGGUGAGUAUUUAAUAAAAUUCAAUGAAACUUGGUACACUUAGUGGGGUACCCAUAUGAAUAUUUUUGGCAGGUCAUGUGGUUGUCAUGGCAACACACUAGUCCCCAAUCUCUUAUCUUCCUUUCAAGUUGUUCAAUUCGUUGCACUCAAUUAGUGUGCCAAGUUUCAUUGAAUUUUAGGAAACGAUAAUCAAGAUAUCAAAUGUUCUUGUUAUUGCCACUAUUUCGAGUCAUACUAGCGACGUAACAACUCAAAAUAUAGAAAGUGCGAUAACUUGGGAAAUAGACGAGAUACGAAUAAACUGUAAACGUCAUUCUUCAUCAUUUGAGCAGUACCUUUUAAUGAAGCAAUAAUAAAAAAUGAGGCAAAAAUUUCGUUCCAUAAGCACUUUGAAUUAUUGAAAGUAAAUUCUUGUACUAAAAUAAAAUAUAUUCUGAAAAAAAAUAUCAAUUGUUGUAUGAAUGUUGUCAUUAGAGGUGUGCGUCGGAUCGGAAUGGCCUCCCAACCUCGUUCUCAGGCUCUUC